GAGUGUGUGUGCUUGAUAGAGGCUGCGUUUGUGUUGUCAUAGGAAUGAGGUGCCGAAAGGCCUCAGAUGUGGUUGAUUGGGCUCCUCUGGUCUUGGGUCUGCUGAUGCUCUUGAAACAGUUUCACUCCAGAUAUUCUCAACAGUUCCUGGCUCUGAUUGGCCAGUUUAUUCGCUCCAUAAUGGAGCAGUGCACAAGCCAGAAAAUUCCAGAUAUGCCUUCAGAUGUAGUUGGAGCAUUAAUGUUUCUGGAAGACUAUGUGCAGUACACUAAACUGCCCAGAAAGAUUGGAAAUAUUGAGAUAUUUAAUAUUAAUUUUAUUUAAAAGACAAAUAUUCUAAUAGAAAAAUUAUUUGGGGUUUUGAAAGCAUUGUCUUUUUUCUUCUUUUUUUCAGGUGGCCGAAGCUCAUGUGCCAAGUUUCAUUUUUGAUGAAUUCAGGACUUUGAUACCAUUUGUCUUUCUCUGAAAGCACUAAUGAAAAAAUAUGUGAGCAAUUAGCAUUUUGUAACAUUUUAAUUGCUCUUUGGUAAUACUGUGUAGCUGUUGUAAUUUGGUGUAAUCAAAUACCACAAUGUGUAUGUAACUCUAUAAUCUUUGCAAAAUGAAGCACCUUCAAACAAAGAAUAAGAAUGUUUUCUAGUAAAGCAGUAAGCCACAAAAGGGUAUGCUUUACAGUGGUUAAUGGUAAGGGAUAUUUUUUGGCAAGACACAAACCGGAAUGUCUAAAACACACUUAACCAUGGUAAACUCAUUGUAACGCAUGGCUUCAAGUGGCUUAUUGCUUUUAUAUUAAACGGUUGCAACAUCCAAUCAAAAUUUAGAGUCAGAACCAUUUUAACCAGCUAAUAAUACUGAACACAUACACUAAAACACACUUAAACUUUUUGAACACAACACACACACACACAAGAGACAUUAUUUGAAUGAAAGUUUUACUUUAUCUUAAAUAUAUUACAAUACUGAAUGGAUACUGUAUGAAAAAAAUGAGCUUUAUCAUUUAAUUGUCAAUCUAUGUACAGCACACAAUGUAAGAAAACAGCCAUGAAGAAAACAAACACUGUGUACACUGUCAGAUGCGAACAGAAGAGAAAUAACAGAGUGUGUGACAGCUGUUGAAUUAGCAUAAGGCAUUAAAAAAGACCCAAAAUGUACAAUUUCACUACUGAAACCAAUCUGUGUUAAAAAUCAUUAUUCACUUCCAGUUAACACUGUCCUAUAUUUGUAAGUUGGUUCAGGAUGUGUGUGAAUGUGAUCCCAGUAUAAAUGAUCUGGACCCGUUUGGUGAGUGUAAAUAUGAAUUUUCCUACAUACAUUCAAAAGCAUUUGGUUUUAUCCUCCAGUCACUGCACUGACAAGUCUAAACAAAUACAGUUUUAAAAUGACAGUGACCAAGGGUGUAGAUUUGGCUUGAACUUUGGGGGGGUUGCAACUUGAAGCAUUUACAUAUUUCCAUUGAUCAUGGUAUAAAUAUUGAGGGGGAUGUACUUGCUUGUUUUGAUUAUUGGGGGGGGGGGUUACCCCCUGGAAUCUACGCCCCUGACAGUGACUGGCAUCAGGAUGAGACUCGUGUUUGACUGAAACAGCAUCUCUCCACCUGAGAGUUUAUUCCAGUGUGAGCUGUAAAGACUGCUUUUUUUACGGAGAGAUCAGGGUCAUAGUGAGCUGAGAGUAUUGCUUCAGAUGGUCAGUUAUUAUGGCCUUAAUUAAAUGAAGCAAUUCCGAUGGCAUUGAAUGUAUUUCUGCACGUAAACUGCAGCUACAAACACAUAAACAGGGCAGCAGUGACCCACAUGGUGUACAAAGGCGACCUGUUUACGAAACAAUAAAAAAUAUUUAGCUAAACCUCAGUUUGCUCAAAAACCUAUUGCAGUAGUAAUCAUUCUAAAGCACUUAAUUGUUGUUGGGAUUAAAUAUGUACAGGUAACAAUACUGGGGAGGAAAAGACUUUACAAAGUUACCUUAAAAAUACUUCAUAUGCAUCAUGGCAAUGUUUUCUGAUGUUACUUGUGGGUUACAGGCAGAGUGCAAAAAAUCAGUGCAGACAGAUCAAACGCACAGUAGGCUAUGUACAGAUGAAAACUACCAUUACUAAUACAAUACUGAAUGCAAAAGUAAUCUAUCAAGGCUGAAUGGUCAUUUGACCAAGUUUUAUGAGGGAUACUGAAGAGUUUCUCAAUGUAAAAUAGUGUCGAGCUGUAAACAAAUGGCAAAUAUGUUUACCAAGUAAUGGGCAUCAAUCAUGAAACAUGAGAACAUUUCUGUGGACGAAGAAUGAAGAAUAGUUUUACGAGCAAUUUAGAAUUUUCACUGAAAUUCAUUCUACUCAUGUUUAAUCAAAAAAAAAAAAAAAUCUUAAUAUGUCAUUUAUUUGUCCAUAAAAGUAUAACGUUCUCGUUAAUAAUUUAACUGAACUCAAAGGAAACAUAUGUAGUUUUACAUUUACUAGUCUCCAGGUUUAGUUUUUGUGUACAGCGUUUCCAUCUCUACUAUAAUCUAUGACAAACCAUGAUUUGCCAAUUUCUACUUCAUUUUCUUGAAUUCUUGUAAUUCUUGUUAACUUUAUGUUCUGUAUAUGCAAAAUUGUUCCUCUUCAGCAGAAAUCUAAAAAUUCAUUGUCAUUUCCAUGACAAUGGCAGCAUGUUUCACAAUAAGCAAAGUACCUAAAACAAUCAGCUAAAAUCACAUUCCUUACGCUUACGAGAGAAUUAUAAAUGACGUGAGAUGAUGAAAAAAUGAAAUAAUUACAUUCUGCUGUGAGCAUGAGGGAAAAUAAACUCUUUCAAACAAACAGAGACAAACUAAGACCUUGUGCACGUUACAAGACAGAAGUUCUUCGCCCUGCGCAUAUUUCUUGUUUUCAGUCAUGUUGUCACAGCUAAGGUGUGGACUUGACACAACUAAUCGCAAGCUACUGAAGCUGUAUCAGUUACAAGGUCGUUCUUCUCCCAGACUGUUCCUGAAGUUGUCUAAUGACUGACCAAUCAACAAACAGAAUUUCAGAUCAUUAUGAUAUAGGCAUUACAUUUUAGCGUGCCUCCUAUCAAUGUUUUAAGAAAGGAAAUAUCUGUGAACUACAAAUACCCCUCGUCUCGUUCCAUACACAAAUGUUUUCUUUUUUCUAUUGUAAACAAAACUUAUUUUUGAUGGUUAGGUUUAGAGUUUGGGUAAGGGGUUGGACUUUAUGUUUAGGUUUGUGUUAGGACUCUAACUUUGAAAAAAAUCAUAAUAAUAGUUUGUUGGUUCAUUUAUUUUUCUGAAACAUGAUUACUUAUUUUGCAAUCUUGUGAUAUUAUUAUGAGUUUACGAGUUUAUUUAUGUGUUAAUACUUAACAUGUUAAGGGAAUAUACCGGGUUCAAUACAAGUGAAGCUCAGUCGACAGCAUUUGUAGCAUAAUGUGGAUUACUACAAAAUGUAAUUGUCUUGUCCCCCCUUUUCUUACAAUGGAAAUGUAUGGGGCCAAUCCGUUAAUGUUAAAAUCAGGGACUAAAAACAAAAUGUUUUUCAUUUCGGUUCAUUCUGAGCAAAAACUGUAUUUUUUUCAUUCUGGUUCAGAAUUUCCGCAGUCACCUUUCCAAAUGGUAACCAAUUAGAACAAAAUAAAGAACGGUUAAUUACAUUCUUUUUUAAAUGACAGUACUCUACGUUAAGGGAUCGGUGAAAUAUCAAUUGUAGGGUUGCCAGAUCUCGCAAAAGAAACAAGCGACCUGGUCUGGAAUAACCAUUUUUGCUUUUUUUUUUUUUUUUUUAAAGAAAA